UACGAAGGGGGCGAGCGUUGUUCGGAUUUACUGGGCGUAAAGGGCGCGUAGGCGGCCCUUCAAGUCAGGCGUGAAAGCCCCGGGCUCAACCUGGGAGGUGCGCUUGGGACUGGAGGGCUGGAGUUCGGGAGAGGAGCGUGGAAUUCCCAGUGUAGAGGUGAAAUUCGUAGAUAUUGGGAAGAACACCGGUGGCGAAGGCGGCGCUCUGGACCGAGACUGACGCUGAGGCGCGAAAGCCAGGGGAGCAAACGGG
rnacentral:rRNA from 1 species